GAGUAUGGUAGAAUCUGUAAAGCUCAGGAGGGAUAGCGCCAUGAAGAACAAAAAGUCUAAAUUUGUUAUUCAUUGGCGCUAUCUAUCCUGGGUUUCAUGGCUUCUUCUUACUAUCUC
rnacentral:pre_miRNA from 1 species